AUUUUAACAAGUCUUAUUUUUAACUUAUCAGGCAAUUGACAUAAUAUUGAUGUUUGGUAAACAAACAAUGCAAUUAUUUUAUGUAUUAAUUACUGGUAACCGACCGGCCGCCGCGUCUGAGUCACGGUUAUAGAUAACACACACACUCAUUUAAAUUUUAAUCAUAAUUACACACUAGCACACUGCUAAGUAAGAAUUAUUAUUAAAUUUGUAGAAUAGUACAAACCCCCGAAUCGUUACAAUACCCGCAUAUCAGAUAAGACCUAAUUAAACGUAUUUUAUACAUUAUAAUAUAAAUAAGUAAUUAUGUUCCAUAUUUUCCAUUUUGAUUAAUCCCUAGGUAGCGACUAGAGUAUUUUUUUCUGGUUACAUAAUAUUCGAGAUUAUUCAACGCAAUUAUUUACGAAGUAUCGAUAUUUUAUUUAAUUAUCAUGAACAAUCAACGAAAACAUAAACAUACUAAGGUACAAUGUUUAUCCUGUGGUAGUUUAGUUAUAUAUAUCU